rnacentral:rRNA from 1 species
AUACGUAGGGGGCGAGCGUUGUCCGGAAUGAUUGGGCGUAAAGGGCGCGUAGGCGGCCCGGUAAGUCUGGAGUGAAAGUCCUGCUUUUAAGGUGGGAAUUGCUUUGGAUACUGUCGGGCUUGAGUGCAGGAGAGGUAAGUGGAAUUCCCAGUGUAGCGGUGAAAUGCGUAGAGAUUGGGAGGAACACCAGUGGCGAAGGCGGCUUACUGGACUGUAACUGACGCUGAGGCGCGAAAGGGUGGGGAGCAAACAGGAUUAGAUACCCUGGUAGUCCACACUGUAAACGAUGAAUGCUAGGUGUAGGGGGUAUCGACCCCUUCUGUGCCGCAGUUAACACAAUAAGCAUUCCGCCUGGGGAGUACGGCCGCAAGGUUGAAACUCAAAUGAAUUGGCGGGG